GGCAUGCCUAACACAUGCAAGUCGAACGAGAUUUUCGGAUCUAGUGGCGCACGGGUGAGUAACGCGUGGGAACCUACCUUUCAGUACGGGACAACGUUUGGAAACGAACGCUAAUACCGUAUACGCCCUCCGGGGGAAAGGUCAGCCGCUGAAAGAGGGGCCCGCGUCUGAUUAGCUUGUUGGUAAGGUAAUGGCUUACCAAGGCAACGAUCAGUAGCUGGUCUGAGAGGAUGAUCAGCCACACUGGGACUGAGACACGGCCCAGACUCCUACGGGAGGCAGCAGUGGGGAAUAUUGGACAAUGGAGGCAACUCUGAUCCAGCAAUGCCGCGUGUGUGAUGAAGGCCCUAGGGUUGUAAAGCACUUUCAACGGUGAAGAUGAUGACGGUAGCCGUA
rnacentral:rRNA from 1 species